UACAGAGGUCCCAAGCGUUGUUCGGAUUCACUGGGCGUAAAGGGUGCGUAGGCGGCGCGGUAAGUCGGGUGUGAAAUCUUGGAGCUUAACUCCGAAACUGCAUUCGAUACUGCCGUGCUUGAGGACUGGAGAGGAGACUGGAAUUUACGGUGUAGCGGUGAAAUGCGUAGAUAUCGUAAGGAAGACCAGUGGCGAAGGCGGGUCUCUGGACAGUUCCUGACGCUGAGGCACGAAGGCCAGGGGAGCAAACGGG
rnacentral:rRNA from 1 species